rnacentral:rRNA from 1 species
UACGGAGGAUGCAAGCGUUAUCCGGAUUUACUGGGUUUAAAGGGUGCGCAGGCGGAACGACAAGUCAGUGGUGAAAUCUCCUGGCUCAACCAGGAAACUGCCAUUGAUACUAUCGUUCUUGAGUCCAGUUGAAGUAGGCGGAAUGUAGCAUGUAGCGGUGAAAUGCUUAGAUAUGCUACAGAACACCGAUAGCGAAGGCAGCUUACUAAACUGAAACUGACGCUCAUGCACGAAAGCGUGGGGAUCAAACA